UAAUACGAAGGGUGCAAGCGUUGUUCGGAUUUAUUGGGCGUAAAGCGCGCGCAGGCGGAUUGCUAAGCUAGAUGUGAAAUCUCGGGGCUCAACCCCGAAACUGCGUCUAGAACUGGUGGUCUAGAAUCUUGGAGAGGGAAGGGGAAUUUCUCAUGUAGGGGUAAAAUCCGUAGAGAUGAGAAGGAACACCAGAGGCGAAGGCGCCUUCCUGGACAAGUAUUGACGCUGAGGCGCGAAAGCGUGGGGAGCAAACAGGAUUAGAUACCCUGGUAGUCCACGCUGUAAACGAUGUGCACUAGAUAUUGGGGAUAUUGAUCUCUUCAGUGUCGUAGCUAACGCAUUAAGUGCACCGCCUGGGGAGUACGGUCGCAAGACUA
rnacentral:rRNA from 1 species